rnacentral:misc_RNA from 1 species
UGAAGUCUCUGGCAGCUAAGGUCUCACCGGUGCGUGUGAGCGUGUGAGUGGACGCGUGUGCGUGCUUGCCCCCAAAGCGCAGCCGUGCGAGGAGAGAGGGUGCUGCUAGGCCUGCAAGCGGGUUUUGAGCGAGGAUCAGACAAAGCAGAGCACGAAUGAUUACGUACACACGAAGGAGGGCGGCGAUGCCCGGACCGGAAGCGAUGUAUUGAGCUGUGCGUGCGCCACUGAAGGAGACUGGAAGUCUCUCCCUCCCCCUCUCCUACCGCCACCAUCGCCACAUUUUCCAUCCCCAUUCACAGAGUUUGCCCAACAGUGAAGCAUUACGCGAGUGCGUGCGCUUUUUACUGACAAGGGGGAGCUUGAUCAGUUGCGCUUCCCAACUGCACGAGGAGGCAGUGCCGACCGUGACCGGCGGCCACGGACCACAGGGAGAGACGUUCAUGCGUCACACAUCACAGCUCUUCCGCAACAGGAGCACACCAUGCAUGCUUGUGGGGGGGGGAGAGCUCGCCCUCGUCUAUGGGAGCAGACGUUUAGCAGAUCGCGGCAGCAGACAAGUCGGUCAUUAGGCAAGAAAUGGCCGAGAUCGAGACGAGCAUGGAAGGAGUUGCACAACGCUUGCCACCACAGAAGCCCGUCGCGAAGACAGCCGUCAAAACGGAACCGCGGGGACCGCAAUGGAGGGCAACGCUAGCGGCAACAGCAGCCUCCUGUUUCUGAACGCCGGCCUGCCGCGGUACCUCGGUGCAAAGGCCGGGUGCUCCACACCGGGGAGUUAAAUUCAUGGGUAGCAGUGUCAAGUGGAUCAAGAGCGCAGGAGAGGGUCACAGCACAGGUGGCUGCGAAACCGCCGGAGGCUACGGUGUGGUGGGUGGGGUGCACACGGUCGAAGCUCAGCGGAGACGGCCAGGACGGAGACGCAGGAUGGACCCCUUGAGAACCACGGCGGCUCAAACACAAAGCCGAGUCGGCGGAGGCCGCCCACGCGAUUGCCGCAACGCGGUCUGGGCGGCGAUAAGCGCCCCUCAGUAUUCCUUUUCCCUUCAUCGCUGGCCGCGGAAUGGGCGGCUGCAAGCGCAGCUAUGGAAGAAGAGGCAUUGCUUGAAAUUCGAGCCUGGUAUGGGGCCAUGUCUCGCUACACCCACCCGCCCAACCCCACGCACCGCGAUCUUCUACGGGCCUGACAGCAAUCGGCUCUGCAGCUGACGUCGGGGAACGCGCACGCGCCCAGCCAGAUUGUUUCCUCUCUCGCCUCCUUGCCUACUCCAACGCUGGGAGGACCGCCGCCGACGCGUGGCGCAUGCACACAGAGGCACCCAAUCGCAAUGCGGUGCUGAUGCAUCAACAUGGAUAGGCAUGCCUAUACGGGAGGGCGCGGUCUGCCCCCACUCACCUCACAUCUGCUUAGCGGAUCCAUUCGGCCCGCAGGCGUAGCGGAAUGCUGAGAAGUGCAUGCGGCCAGCCAGGAGCGCCAGCAAUACACAUCAGCUUCUUUCCAUCCCUUCACCUCUUCUCUGUCCACCCAG